rnacentral:rRNA from 1 species
AAGAAGCAUUGUCAAGGAACUCGGCAAAAUGGCCCCGUAACUUAGGGAUAAGGGGUGCCUGGGAAACCAGGCCGCAGAGAAUAGGCUCAAGCAACUGUUUAGCAAAAACACAGGUCUAUGCGAAACCGAAAGGUGAGGUAUAUGGGCUGACGCCUGCCCGGUGCUGGAAGGUUAAGAGGAGAGGUUAGCGGUAACGCGAAGCUUUGAAUUUAAGCCCCAGUAAACGGCGGCCGUAACAAUAACGGCCCUAAGGUAGCGAAAUUCCUUGGCGGGUAAGUUCCGACCGCACGAAAGGCGUAAUGAUUUGAGCGCUGUCUCGACAAUGCAUCCGGUGAAAUUGAAGUACCAGUGAAGAUGCUGGUUACCUGCGCCAGGACGGAAAGACCCCAUGGAGCUUUACUCCAGUCUGGUACUGGGACUCGGUAUUGCAUGUACAGGAUAGGUGGGAGGCUAGGAGAUGGUAACGCCAGUUGCCAUGGAGCCGCUGUUGGGAUACCACCCUUGCAGUAUUGGGUUUCUAACCAGCCGCCGUGACCCGGCGGUGGGACAAUGCCAGACGGGGAGUUUGACUGGGGCGGUCGCCUCCGAAAGGGUAUCGGAGGCGCCCAAAGGUUCCCUCAGAAUGGACGGAAACCAUUCGAAGAGUGCAAAGGCAGAAGGGAGCUUGACUGCGACACCGACGGGUGGAGCAGGUACGAAAGUAGGGCUUAGUGAUCCGGUGGUAUUAAGUGGGAAUGCCAUCGCUCAACGGAUAAAAGCUACCCUGGGAUAACAGGCUUAUCACUCCCAAGAGUUCACAUCGACGGAGUGGUUUGGCACCUCGAUGUCGGCUCAUCGCAUCCUGGGGCUGUAGUAGGUCCCAAGGGUUGGGCUGUUCGCCCAUUAAAGCGGUACGCGAGCUGGGUUCAGAACGUCGUGAGACAGUUCGGUCCCUAUCCGGCGUGGGCGUAGGAUAUCUGAGAGGAGCUGUCCUUAGUACGAGAGGACCGGGAUGGACGGGCCGCUGGUGCAUCGGUUAGACUGCCAAGUCUACGGCCGAGUAGCCAAGCCCGGAAGGGAUAAACGCUGAAGGCAUCUAAGCGUGAAGCCCCCCUUAAGAUGAGAUAUCCCAUUCGAAAGAAGUAAACCCCCUUGAAGACGACGAGGUAGAUAGGGCAGAGGUGGAAGUGCAGCAAUGCAUGGAGCUGACUGUUACUAAUCGGGUGAGGGCUUGACC